AGUGAACGCUGGCGGUAGGCCUAACACAUGCAAGUCGAACGGCAGCACAGUAAGAGCUUGCUCUUACGGGUGGCGAGUGGCGGACGGGUGAGGAAUACAUCGGAAUCUACUUUUUCGUGGGGGAUAACGUAGGGAAACUUACGCUAAUACCGCAUACGACCUACGGGUGAAAGCAGGGGAUCUUCUGACCUUGCGCGAUUGAAUGAGCCGAUGUCGGAUUAGCUAGUUGGCGGGGUAAAGGCCCACCAAGGCGACGAUCCGUAGCUGGUCUGAGAGGAUGGUCAGCGACACUGGAGGUGAGACACGGUCCAGACUCCUACGGGAGGCAGCAGUGGGGAAUAUUGGACAGUGGGCGGAAGCCUGAUCCAGCCAUACCGCGUGGGUGAAGAAGGCCUUCGGGUUGUAAAGCCCUUUUGUUGGGAAAGAAAAGCAGCAGGUUAAUACCCCGCUGUUCUGACGGUAACCAAAGAAUAAGCACCGGCUAACUUCGUG
rnacentral:rRNA from 1 species